UUUAUUGGAGAGUUUGAUCCUGGCUCAGGAUGAACGCUGGCGGCGUGCCUAAUACAUGCAAGUCGAGCGAAUGGAUUGAGAGCUUGCUCUCAAGAAGUUAGCGGCGGACGGGUGAGUAACACGUGGGUAACCUG
rnacentral:rRNA from 1 species